GGGCUUGACAUCCCACGAACCUGGCCGAAAGGCGGGGGUGCCCGCAAGGGAGCGCGGAGACAGGUGGUGCAUGGCUGUCGUCAGCUCGUGUCGUGAGAUGUUGGGUUAAGUCCCGCAACGAGCGCAACCCUUGCCCCUUGUUGCCAUCAGGUCAUGCUGGGCACUCUAGGGGAACUGCCCCGGUUAACGGGGAGGAAGGCGGGGAUGACGUCAAGUCAUCAUGCCCCUUACGCCCUGGGCUACACACGUGCUACAAUGGCCGGUACAAAGGGAUGCAAUACCGCGAGGUGGAGCUAAACCCAAAAAGCCGGUCUAAGUUCAGAUUGGAGUCUGCAACUCGACUCCAUGAAGGAGGAAUCGCUAGUAAUCGCGUAUCAGCACGACGCGGUGAAUACGUUCCCGGGCCUUGUACACACCGCCCGUCACACCACGAAAGCCAGCUGUACUCGAAGUCGCUGAG
rnacentral:rRNA from 1 species